rnacentral:rRNA from 1 species
GACGAACGCUGGCGGCGUGCUUAACACAUGCAAGUCGAGCGGUAAGGCCCUUUCGGGGGUACACGAGCGGCGAACGGGUGAGUAACACGUGGGUGACCUGCCCUCAGCUCUGGGAUAAGCCUGGGAAACUGGGUCUAAUACCGGAUAUGACUUCGCAUCGCAUGGUGUGGGGUGGAAAGUUUUUCGGCUGGGGAUGGGCCCGCGGCCUAUCAGCUUGUUGGUGGGGUGAUGGCCUACCAAGGCGACGACGGGUAGCCGGCCUGAGAGGGCGACCGGCCACACUGGGACUGAGACACGGCCCAGACUCCUACGGGAGGCAGCAGUGGGGAAUAUUGCGCAAUGGGCGGAAGCCUGACGCAGCGACGCCGCGUGGGGAUGACGGCCUGGUU